GUGAAUCAUCGAAUUUUUGAACGCAAAUUGCACUCUCUUCGGAGAGUAUGCCUGUUUGAGGGUCAGCCUAAAAAAAUCGACAACGGUGCUGUUUCGCGGUGGCGUUCGGCGGAAAUUGGGUUAUUUUAAAUUUUUGGUUUUAGCGACUUAAAAUUUUCUUUACGUUUUUAUGUACGUUUCUAA
rnacentral:misc_RNA from 1 species